AGCCAUGUUAGUGGGGUCGGGCACACUUGGCUCGUGCUCUUGGCCAGGCAGUUUUGGUCUCGGUGGGUCAUUUGGAAUUCCAGGUCGGCAGAACAGGUGCAAGCUGAAUAAACAAUUAAUUAAAUCAUUCAUUGAUUUGUUCAUGGACAAUAAUUUGUUUUGUGUCAGGCAUUGGAGCAGAUGGUAAAGACACAGGGAUGGAAAAUCUUGUCCUUGCCUUCAAGGUAGUUACACUUGAUAGAAGAAACAGAUGAAGCAAUUAAAAUGGGGCUCCCAACAGAUUGAACGACACCCACAUUGGAAAGGAUGAUUUGCUUUACCAAUUCACCAAUUUAAAUGCUUAUUUCUUCUGGAAAGACCUUCAAAGACAUACACAGAAACAAGGUUUUACUAGCUAUUUGGGCAUCACAUGGCCCAGCUAAGUUAGCACAUAAGAUUAACCAACAUAACCUCUAAAUUCAAUGACUGGGGCCAUGUGAAAGGCAAGAGAUACAUGGCAGAAGACAGCCAAGUGAAGUAGGAAGCAGAAAUUGGAGUGAUGCUGCUACAAACUAAGGACUGCCAAGGACCUCCACAACCACCAGCAGCAAGGGAGUCAAGGAAGGAUUUGUCCCUAGAGUUUACAGAGGGAUCUCUUGCCAAUACCAAUACUUCGAUUUUGGAUCUCUGACUUCUAGAACUGUGAGAACUCUUUAACUAAAAACUACACACUGCAGUCCAGGACUCUUUCCCAAGUUCCACAUUCAUCUCAUGCUGACAAGAUAUCUUUACUGAGGUGUUCUACAAAUUUUGACCUUCGUCAUGCUCAAAACUGACCUUGAUAUUUCUUUCACCAAACCUGCUCACUGCAUAUUUCCUUCUCUAUUUGCCAGCCUGACCUAGCAAAGAUGGGAAUGUCCUGAUAGAUGCUCUCCCCUCUCUCUUUUCAUAUCACAAUGAAGUAAUCACUCAUGAUGGUAGAUUUUACCCCCUCUUUGAGUCUCACACUUGAUUCAUUAGAAUAUUAGUUCCAAGUUGUGAGGGUGAUAUGCUUGCAACAUCUGUCACCCCAUUGAUAUCUGGCUGGCAAGGUGGGUGUCCCCUUCCUCCCUCUAUGCUCUGUGUAUCUCCCACUAGAACUUUUGCACCUGGUUUUAAGAAGACCACCUUUCCUAAAUACAGACAGACUUUUCUGUGGUCAAGUUUACGAGUAGCCGUGUUCCCCUGUGAGCAGUUCCAAACAAGCUCUCAAGGUCUAUUUUUUAAAAAAGAUUUGUUUAUUUUAUUUAUUUAUUUUUUUAUAUA